rnacentral:rRNA from 1 species
GACGAACGCUGGCGGCGUGCUUAACACAUGCAAGUCGUGCGGAAAGGCCCUGCUUUUGUGGGGUGCUCGAGUGGCGAACGGGUGAGUAACACGUGAGUAACCUGCCCUUGACUUUGGGAUAACUUCAGGAAACUGGGGCUAAUACCGGAUAGGAGCUCCUGCUGCAUGGUGGGGGUUGGAAAGUUUCGGCGGUUGGGGAUGGACUCGCGGCUUAUCAGCUUGUUGGUGGGGUAGUGGCUUACCAAGGCUUUGACGGGUAGCCGGCCUGAGAGGGUGACCGGCCACAUUGGGACUGAGAUACGGCCCAGACUCCUACGGGAGGCAGCAGUGGGGAAUAUUGCACAAUGGGCGGAAGCCUGAUGCAGCAACGCCGCGUGCGGGAUGACGGCCUUCGGGUUGUAAACCGCUUUCGCCUGUGACGAAGCGUGAGUGACGGUAAUGGGUAAAGAAGCACCGGCUAACUACGUG